CCUGGACAGUGGUUUUGACACUCACCUGUACCAGGCCUCAUUCCUUACACUUAGCGUACAGUCUCAGAGUGCUGGACUUGGGGUGAAACCUUCCGUGCAUAGUCAGGAGCUUCUUUGUGUUGAUGUCACUGGCUUCCAUCUCCUCCUUUGGGCAGCUUAUUAUCCCAGCAGGGUACCUGAUCACUGGCAGGGCGUAGCUGUUGAUAGCCCAGAUCUUGUUCUUACCAUUCAGCUGACUCCUUAGGACUUGCCUGACCCUCUGCAGGUACUUGGGGGUUGCAGCUUUCUUAGUGGCCUCUUCAUGGUUCCUAUUCGCCUGGGUUCAGGCCUAUGCAGAACAGCAGUGGGGAAAGCUCAUCUCCUUGGUAGAUCCUGCACUUGAUGGUGUCUUGUGCUGUAGACUUGAAGUUGGCCUCCAGUGUUGUUCGCCACAUCCCCAUCAAAUUCCUGAUGAAGGCUCUCAGGGUCCUGUUGAUCUUGUAUUGUUCUAGGCAUUCCAAGACCCAUAUGUGGUGCGUUGAGUUAUAGGCCUUCUCAGUCCAGGCAGUGAACAGGUUGGUCAGUCUGGUCUUGCAGUCUUGGGUGACUGCUCUGUCUACCAGGAACUGGUGUUUCGCUCCUCUGGUAUUCCUGCCAACUCCUUUCUGUGCCCCACUCGUGUAUUGAGCCAUGUGCCUAUUCAUCUUAGCGCUAUGAUGCCCGAUAGGGACUUCCAUGUGGUACUGAGGCAGGUUAUAGGCCGGUAGUUGGAUGGAACCAAUCCCUUCUGGGGGUUCUUGGGGAUCUUGAGCCAUGUGGAGAAAAGAAAUGAGGAUCCAAGUGCAGGCAUUCGCUGAGAUGUGAAGGUGGUUUAUUGUAAAAUAAAGCACAAGGUGAAAAAUGGCAAAACGGAACUAAAGAUAAUCUAAGAUGGGGAAAAAGGGGUGGCUGUGACUCAGGUGGUAGAGUAGAUCAGCUACUGAUUGAAAGGUCGGUGGUUCGAUCCUUGGCUUCCCCAGUCUGCAUGCCAAAUAAGACUUGGGCAAAAUACUAACCCUAAGUUGCCCUCCGUUCAUCAGAGUGUGAAUGUAGGUUAGUUUGCACUUGUGUCUAGAAGUGCUUGUAUGAAUGGGUGAAUGAGGCAUUUUGUAUACAGCUUUGAGUACUCUGGGAGAGUAGAAAAGCGUUAUAUAAGAAUCGGUCCAUUUACCAACAGCAACCACGAACAUGAAGGAGGGUGAGCAGAGGCAUACAAAGGUGGAUGGCAGGGAAAACACACGGAGAAUACAUAGUUGAUUCACAGACAGACCCGCUACUAGUACACGAGUAGACACAACUUAAAUACACACAGAAGAACACAGCUGGAAGUAAUUGACAAGACGAGACAGGGGAAGCAAAACUGAAUACAUGUCACAAAUGGUGCAGGGACUCAAGCGCAGAGCGGGUAGUCAGUUCCAACACAGAGUUUAUUUACAACACCAAGUGCAGAAUAUGUACAGUGGGGGAAAUCCAGGUAGGAGAAGGGUCCCAGGGAAGAUCCAGGGGAAAACGCUUGCGCACUCGUCCCCUCCUCUUACUCCAACUCACACACAACCACACAGCGGGGAGGUCACAGGUCCAGGGAGGAAAACUAACACACAGGGAAAAGGCAAGUUACUCCAAGUCACUAAUCUCACACAAGCUAACGUCACAAGAGCUGAGAGGGUCACUAACGUGUUACACACAAUCAUCCAGCGAUGAGAGGAUCUGUGUCCCAGCCUCAAGUAGUGCUCCUGGUGAUGACUGGUGAUUGAUGACAGGUGUGUGGGCCAAGGGCGGGAGCCCGCAGUGAGCUCCGCCCAGGCAGAGAGGGAGAGAGAGAGAGAGAGAGAGAGAGAGAGAACCAAAACAGAACAUGUAGCCUUGUGGGGCCGGCCGGGCAGGCACGGAGACCAUGACAAUACACUCACAUGAGACACAGACCUUCACAAUACAAUUUUUCUCAGUUGCUUUGGUGCAUUUCUCACAACAGAAUUGAUCUCUGCACCACUACUAAGGCU
ensembl:lncRNA